rnacentral:rRNA from 1 species
AAACUAACUAGGAUUCCCUUAGUAACGGCGAGUGAACCGGGAUGAGCUCAAAUUUAAAAUCUGGCGUCUUUCAGGCGUCCGAGUUGUAAUCUAUAGAGGCGUUUUCCGCGCCGGACCGCGUCCAAGUCUCUUGGAAUAGAGUAUCAAAGAGGGUGACAAUCCCGUACUUGACGCGACAACCGGUGCUCUGUGAUACGUUCUCAAUGAGUCGAGUUGUUUGGGAAUGCAGCUCUAAAUGGGUGGUAAAUUCCAUCUAAGGCUAAAUAUUGGCGAGAGACCGAUAGCGAACAAGUACCGUGAGGGAAAGAUGAAAAGCACUUUGGAAAGAGAGUUAAACAGCACGUGAAAUUGUUAAAAGGGAAACGAUUGAAGUCAGUCGUGUGAAAGGUAUUCAGCCGUCUCUGGCGGUGUAUUUGCCUUUCACGGGUCAACAUCAGUUUGAUCCGGUAGAAAAAGGCGGGAGGAAGGUGGCACCCUCGGGUGUGUUAUAGCCUCCUGUCAUAUGUGCCGGACCAGACUGAGGAACGCAGCUUGCCGCAAGGCCGGGGUUCGCCCACGUACAAGCUUAGGAUGUUGAC